rnacentral:rRNA from 1 species
UACGUAGGGGGCAAGCGUUGUCCGGAAUCAUUGGGCGUAAAGCGCGCGUAGGCGGCUCGAUAAGUCUGCUGUGAAAGUCCAGGGCUCAACCCUGGGAUGCCGGUGGAUACUGUCGAGCUCGAGUCCGGAAGAGGCGAGUGGAAUUCCUGGUGUAGCGGUGAAAUGCGCAGAUAUCAGGAGGAACACCAAUGGCGAAGGCAGCUCGCUGGGACGUGACUGACGCUGAGACGCGAAAGCGUGGGGAGCAAACAGG